rnacentral:rRNA from 1 species
AGAUUAAGCCAUGCAUGUCUCAGUACAAGCCGCAUUAAGGUGAAACCGCGAAAGGCUCAUUAAAUCAGUUAUGGUUCCUUAGAUCGUACCCACACUUACUUGGAUAACUGUGGUAAUUCUAGAGCUAAUACAUGCAAACAGAGCUCCGACCGGAGACGGGAGGAGUGCUUUUAUUAGAUCAAAACCAAUCGGCGGCGGGCGCGUCCGCGCGUCCGUUCGCCGCUCUGCCUGGUGACUCUGAAUAACUUACGGCUGAUCGCACGGUCUCGCACCGGCGACGCAUCUUUCAAAUGUCUGCCUUAUCAACUGUCGAUGGUAGGUUCUGCGCCUACCAUGGUCGUAACGGGUAACGGGGAAUCAGGGUUCGAUUCCGGAGAGGGAGCCUGAGAAACGGCUACCACAUCCAAGGAAGGCAGCAGGCGCGCAAAUUACCCACUCCCGGCACGGGGAGGUAGUGACGAAAAAUAACGAUACGGGACUCAUCCGAGGCCCCGUAAUCGGAAUGAGUACACUUUAAAUCCUUUAACGAGGAUCAAUUGGAGGGCAAGUCUGGUGCCAGCAGCCGCGGUAAUUCCAGUUCCAAUAGCGUA